rnacentral:piRNA from 1 species
UGAUUUGUAUGACCUGAACUUGACCUGGAA